rnacentral:rRNA from 1 species
AUUGAACGCUAGCGGGAUGCUUUACACAUGCAAGUCGAACGAGUGGCGGACGGGUGAGUAAUAUAUCGGAACGUGCCCAGUAGCGGGGGAUAACUACUCGAAAGAGUGGCUAAUACCGAAUACUAUUGGAGCGGCCGAUAUCGGAUUAGCUAGGUGGUGGGGUAAAGGCUCACCAAGGCAACGAUCCGUAGCUGGGUUGAGAGGACGAACAGCCAAAAUUGGACUGAGACAAGGCCCAGACUUCUACGGGAGGCAGAAGUGGGGAAUUGUGGACAAAGGGGGAAACCCUUAUCCAGCCAGCCCGGGGUUAUUAGAAGGCCUUUGGGGUGUAAAGUACUUUUGGCAGAGAAGCGGUAUCUGCAGAAUAAGCACCGGCUAACUACGUGCCAGCAGCCGCGGUAAUUC